CGUCGAAGGUGAAGCGUGAGCUUUGCUGGAGCGUGUGGAAAAGCAAAUGUAGGUAUAAGUAACGAUAAAGGGGGUGAGAAACCCCCUCGCCGAAAGACUAAGGUUUCCUGAUCAACGCUAAUCGGAUCAGGGUUAGUCGGGUCCUAAGGCUCAGCCGAACGGUGAGGCCGAUGGCAGAACAGGUUAAUAUUCCUGUACUACCUGUGGGAGUGACGUGGAGACGGAGUCGUGACAGCGCCGCGGACUGACGGAAUAGUCCGUUGAAGGGUGUAGAUGCUGAUUGUCCAGGCAAAUCCGGACAAGAGAGUCGAACCUGAUAGUAUGGAGCGUUCUUAGAACAAUCCAAUAGUGCGUGUAAUCAUACUUCCAAGAAAAUCCGCUAAACUUAAUCCUGCAGGUACCCGUACCGCAAACGGACACACGUAGUCGGGUUGAAUAUACUAAGGCGCUUGAGUGAUUCACGGUUAAGGAACUAGGCAAACUGACCCUGUAACUUCGGGAUAAAGGGUCCUCGCUUAACGGCGAGGCGCAGAGAAUAGGUCCAGGCAACUGUUUAACAAAAACACAGGGCUGUGCAAAAUUGAAAGAUGAAGUAUACAGCCUGACACCUGCCCGGUGCUGGAAGGUUAAGAGGAGAUGUCAUCGCAAGAGAAGC
rnacentral:rRNA from 1 species